UCUCUUCUUGUGCAUCCUAUACUUCCUCUCAUUUGUGAUAAUUCUUUGGAAAAUUUGAAGGAAAUGAAUGAGGAAAAUAUCAACUUGGAUUAUUUAACACGUAGUUAUCAGUCUAUUUGUUUGUACAAAUUGAGGUGUGAGGAGUGUGAGUGAGCUUGGCUUUGAGGAUGGUUCAUAGAAAUCAACUUUUCACUGUUUUCAAGAUAUUCUAUAUUUUUGUUUUGAUCUCAUUGACUGCCACGUACGUCAGAUGUCGAACUCGAAUUAAUAGUUCG